rnacentral:rRNA from 1 species
UGACGGAGGGGGCUAGCGUUGUUCGGAAUUACUGGGCGUAAAGCGCACGUAGGCGGCUUUGUAAGUUAGAGGUGAAAGCCUGGAGCUCAACUCCAGAAUUGCCUUUAAGACUGCAUCGCUUGAAUCCAGGAGAGGUGAGUGGAAUUCCGAGUGUAGAGGUGAAAUUCGUAGAUAUUCGGAAGAACACCAGUGGCGAAGGCGGCUCACUGGACUGGUAUUGACGCUGAGGUGGCGAAAGCGUGGGGAGCAAACAGG